GAGAAGAGCUUGCUCUUCGAUUCAGCGGCGGACGGGUGAGUAAUGCCUAGGAAUCUGCCUGGUAGUGGGGGACAACGUUUCGAAAGGAACGCUAAUACCGCAUACGUCCUACGGGAGAAAGCAGGGGACCUUCGGGCCUUGCGCUAUCAGAUGAGCCUAGGUCGGAUUAGCUAGUUGGUGAGGUAAUGGCUCACCAAGGCGACGAUCCGUAACUGGUCUGARAGGAUGAUCAGUCACACUGGAACUGAGACACGGKCCAGACUCCUACGGGAGGCAGCAGUGGGGAAUAUUGGACAAUGGGCGAAAGCCUGAUCCAGCCAUGCCGCGUGUGUGAAGAAGGUCUUCGGAUUGUAAAGCACUUUAAGUUGGGAGGAAGGGCAUUAACCUAAUACGUUAGUGUUUUGACRUUACCGACAGAAUAAGCACCGGCUAACUCUGUGCCAGCAGCC
rnacentral:rRNA from 1 species